rnacentral:rRNA from 1 species
GACGAACGCUGGCGGCGUGCCUAAUACAUGCAAGUCGAACGCUGAAGGAGGAGCUUGCUUCUCUGGAUGAGUUGCGAACGGGUGAGUAACGCGUAGGUAACCUGCCUGGUAGCGGGGGAUAACUAUUGGAAACGAUAGCUAAUACCGCAUAAUAGUAGAUGUUGCAUGACAUUUGCUUAAAAGGUGCAAUUGCAUCACUACCAGAUGGACCUGCGUUGUAUUAGCUAGUUGGUGAGGUAACGGCUCACCAAGGCAACGAUGCAUAGCCGACCUGAGAGGGGGAUCGGCCACACUGGGACUGAGACACGGCCCAGACUCCUACGGGAGGCAGCAGUAGGGAAUCUUCGGCAAUGGACGGAAGUCUGACCGAGCAACGCCGCGUGAGUGAAGAAGGUUUUCGGAUCGUAAAGAUCUGUUGUAAGAGAAGAACGAGUGUGAGAGUGGAAAGUUCACACUGUGACGGUAUCUUACCAGAAAGGGACGGCUAACUACGUG